rnacentral:rRNA from 1 species
AACGAACGCUGGCGGCAUGCCUAACACAUGCAAGUCGAACGAGACCUUCGGGUCUAGUGGCGCACGGGUGCGUAACGCGUGGGAACUUGCCCUUAGGUUCGGAAUAACUCCCCGAAAGGGGUGCUAAUACCGGAUAAUGUCUUCGGACCAAAGAUUUAUCGCCUUUGGAUGGGCCCGCGUUGGAUUAGCUAGUUGGUAGGGUAAAAGCCUACCAAGGCGACGAUCCAUAGCUGGUCUGAGAGGAUGAUCAGCCACACUGGGACUGAGACACGGCCCAGACUCCUACGGGAGGCAGCAGUGGGGAAUAUUGGACAAUGGGCGAAAGCCUGAUCCAGCAAUGCCGCGUGAGUGAUGAAGGCCUUAGGGUUGUAAAGCUCUUUUACCCGGGAUGAUAAUGACAGUACCGGGAGAAUAAGCUCCGGCUAACUCCGUA